GAUGAAGAACGCAGUGAAAUGCGAUAAGUAAUGUGAAUUGCAGAAUUCAGUGAAUCAUCGAAUCUUUGAACGCACAUUGCGCCCGCCAGUAUUCUGGCGGGCAUGCCUGUUCGAGCGUCAUUUCAACCAUCAAGCCCCCGGGCUUGUGUUGGGGACCUGCGGCUGCCGCAGGCCCUGAAAAGCAGUGGCGGGCUCGCUGUCACACCGAGCGUAGUAGAUUUUAUCUCGCUCUGGGCGUGCUGCGGGUUCCGGCCGUUAAACCACCCUUUUAACCCAAGGUUAACCUCGGAUCAGGUAGGAAGACCCGCUGAACUUAAGCAUAUCAAUAAGCGGAGGA
rnacentral:misc_RNA from 1 species